GAUCAUGGCUCAGGAUGAACGCUAGCGGCAGGCUUAACACAUGCAAGUCGAGGGGCAGCACGAGGUAGCAAUACUUUGGUGGCGACCGGCGCACGGGUGCGUAACGCGUAUGCAACCUACCUUUAACAGGGAUAUAACACUGAGAAAUUGGUACUAAUUCCCCAUAACAUUCGAGAAGGCAUCUUCUUGGGUUAAAAACUCCGGUGGUUAAAGAUGGGCACGCGUUGUAUUAGCUAGUUGGUGAGGUAACGG
rnacentral:rRNA from 1 species